rnacentral:rRNA from 1 species
AGAGUUUGAUCCUGGCUCAGGACGAACGCUGGCGGUGCGCCUUAUGCAUGCAAGUCGAGCGAAGCUUUUCAGUAGUUUACUACAGAAAAUGACUGAGCGGCGAACGGGUGAGUAACGCGUGAGCAAUCUACCUUAGUUACAGGGAUAGCCCGAGGAAACUCGGAUUAAUACCUGAUAUUCUUUACAUUUCGCAUGAAAUUAAAAGGAAAGGUCAGCCGAACUAUGAUGAGCUCGCGUUCUAUCAGCUAGUUGGUGAGGUAAAAGCUCACCAAGGCAACGACGGAUAGCUGGUCUGAGAGGACGAUCAGCCACACUGGGACUGAGACACGGCCCAGACUCCUACGGGAGGCUGCAGCAGGGAAUAUUGUGCAAUGAACGAAAGUUUGACACAGCGACACCGCGUGUGGGAUGACGGAUCUAGGUUUGUAAACCACUUUCAGGAGGGAAGAAAAUGACGGUACCUCCACAAGAAGCCCCGGCCAACUACGUGCCAGCAGCCGCGGUAAUACGUAGGGGGCGAGCGUUGUCCGGAUUUAUUGGGCGUAAAGAGCUCGUAGGCGGUUCAACAAGUCGGUCGUAAAAGUUCAGGGCUCAACCCUGAAAUGUCGAUCGAUACUGUUGUGACUAGGAUACGGUAGAGGUGAGUGGAAUUCCGAGUGUAGCGGUGAAAUGCGUAGAUAUUCGGAGGAACACCAAUUGCGAAGGCAGCUCACUGGGCCGCUAUCGACGCUGAGGAGCGAAAGCUAGGGGAGCAAACAGGAUUAGAUACCCUGGUAGUCCUAGCUGUAAACGAUGGAUACUAGACGUAGAACUGGAUUGACGGUUUCUGUGUCGUAGCUAACGCGUUAAGUAUCCCGCCUGGGGAGUACGGUCGCAAGACUAAAACUCAAAGGAAUUGACGG